rnacentral:tRNA from 1 species
GCACGGCGUGGUCGACGCGGCGGUCAUGCGGCCUUCUCGCGGUCGCGGCUGGCCUCCGAGUUGAGAGGGUCAUCGCCCUCGCGGCGCA